ACGAACGCUGGCGGCGUGCCUAACACAUGCAAGUCGAGCGAGAAAGCCCUUUCGGGGGUUAGUAAAGCGGCGGACGGGUGAGUAACACGUGAGCGAUCUACCCAAGGGUGGGGGACAACUCAGGGAAACUUGAGCUAAUACCGCGUACAGCGCCGGCUUGGAAGCCUGGCGUGAAAGCUGGCCUCUACUUGUAAGCUAGCGCCUUUGGAUGAGCUCGCGGCCUAUCAGCUUGUUGGUGGGGUAAUGGCCUACCAAGGCGAUGACGGGUAGCUGGCGUGAGAGCGCGACCAGCCACACUGGGACUGAGACACGGCCCAGACUCCUACGGGAGGCAGCAGUGGGGAAUAUUGCGCAAUGGGCGAAAGCCUGACGCAGCGACGCCGCGUGGGGGAGGAAGGCCUCAGGGUUGUAAACCCCUGUCAGGUGGGACGAAACCCGUAGUGUCUAAUAGGCAUUACGACUGACGGUACCACCAGAGGAAGCUCCGGCUAACUCCGUGCCAGCAGCCGCGGUAAUACGGGGGGAGCAAGCGUUGUUCGGAAUUACUGGGCGUAAAGGGCGCGUAGGCGGCCAGGUCAGUCGCAUGUGAAAGGCCGGGGCUCAACCCCGAGC
rnacentral:rRNA from 1 species